rnacentral:rRNA from 1 species
GGCGAUGUUUCAUUCAAAUUUCUGCCCUAUCAACUUUCGACGGUAGGGUAGUGGCCUACCGUGGUGGUAACGGGUGACGGAGGAUUAGGGUUCGAUUCCGGAGAGGGAGCCUGAGAAACGGCUACCACAUCCAAGGAAGGCAGCAGGCGCGCAAAUUACCCAAAUCCCAACUCGGGGAGGUAGUGACAAGAAAUAACGAUGCUCCGGCCUCACGGUCGGGUAAUCGGAAUGAGAACAAUUUAAAUCCCUUAUCGAGGAUCAAUUGGAGGGCAAGUCUGGUGCCAGCAGCCGCGGUAAUUCCAGCUCCAAUAGCGUAUAUUUAAGUUGCUGCGGUUAAAAAGCUCGUAGUCGGAUUUCGGGUGGCGCCUACCGGUCCGCCUUUGGUGAGUACUGGUAGGUGCCACCUUUCUGCCGAGGACGGGGUACUGGGCUUAACUGUCUGGGCCCCGGAGUCGGCGAUGUCACUUUGAGUAAAUUAGGGUGUUCAAAGCAGGCUUAUGCUCUGUAUACACUAGCAUGGGAUGACACGAUAGGACUUCGGUUUAUCUUGUCGGUCUGUAGAUCGGAGUAAUGAUUAAGAGGGACAGUCGGGGGCAUUCGUAUUUCGUAGUCAGAGGUGAAAUUCUUGGAUUUACGGAAGACGAACUUCUGCGAAAGCAUUUGCCAAGGAUGUUUUCAUUGAUCAAGAACGAAAGUCGGGGGCUCGAAGACGAUUAGAUACCGUCGUAGUCUCGACCAUAAACGAUGCC